GACGAACGCUGGCGGCGUGCUUAACACAUGCAAGUCGAACGAAGAGCGAUGGAAGCUUGCUUCUAUCAAUCUUAGUGGCGAACGGGUGAGUAACGCGUAAUCAACCUGCCCUUCAGAGGGGGACAACAGUUGGAAACGACUGCUAAUACCGCAUACGAUCUAACCUCGGCAUCGAGGAUAGAUGAAAGGUGGCCUCUACAUGUAAGCUAUCACUGAAGGAGGGGAUUGCGUCUGAUUAGCUAGUUGGAGGGGUAACGGCCCACCAAGGCGAUGAUCAGUAGCCGGUCGGAGAGGAUGAACGGCCACAUUGGGACUGAGACACGGCCCAGACUCCUACGGGAGGCAGCAGUGGGGAAUCUUCCGCAAUGGACGAAAGUCUGACGGAGCAACGCCGCGGGAGUGAGGACGGCCUUCGGGUUGUAAAGCUCUGUUAAUCGGGACGAAAGGCCUUCUUGCGAAUAGUGAGAAGGAUUGACGGUACCGGAAUAGAAAGCCACGGCUAACUACGUG
rnacentral:rRNA from 1 species